CCUAAGUAAGGUAAUAGGGAAUUACAAAAAUAAGGGAGAUAUAAACCUCAAAUUAUAUUAUAAAAGCUACUCCCACUGACAAUGAAAGUAAGACUUCUAUCUGAACUGUAGGCAAUUAUGCAAUGUUACAUUCUCAGAAUAGAAUCUAUACAACUAGUUCUAUUCCUAUUUCUUUAAUUCUAAAAGAAUCAGAGCAAAGGCACAAUUUGAAAAGGCAGCAAGAGUGGGGAAAUCUCUCCAGAACUGAGAGACAUGUUCAACAGGCACUCUGAGUUCAAGACAGAAAAAUGGGAAACAAAAAGAUACACGUCCCUUCAAAAUUGAUUUCAGGGUAAGUCAUGUUCAUCUUAGUUUGUGUAUAAGAGCAAACAGUAAGAAACAAGAUAAUGAAAAAGGUGCCUAAUUGGAUUUAGAGAUUCUUACUUUUUAUUUCCCAUUUUUAAAGUUUUGUCUAGGACAGUCCAUUCUACUGAAUAACUUUAAGUUCAACCAUUUUGAUAUUUACAUACCUGGUCUAAACUA
rnacentral:lncRNA from 1 species